UAACACUCUCUUUACUUUAGUGAGCG
rnacentral:piRNA from 1 species